GUGAGAGAAAUGAUCUUCCCCUCUGCUCUGCCCUAGGGAGGCUACACCUGGAGCAUUACACCCAGCACUGGGCUCCCUAGGUACUGACAGACAGGGAGAGACCCCAGUGGAAGGCUGCAAACCUGCCUGGAUGUGUCCUGUGCAACCUGCUGCAGGGAACCUGCUGUGGGGAUUGGAACUCCAGAGCGCCCCUCCAACACCUACAGCUCUGUGCUUCUCUAAAAGUGACUUUUUUUUCAGGACUAAAUCUCCAGAAAGCAGCUUCCAGCUGAGUCACCAAAUACUGCAGAUCUCUGAUGGAUUUUUUUCACGGAAAAGUAACCUGACAGCUCACAGGGGAGCAGGCAGAUGGAAUGGACUCCUGGGAGCUUUACCAACUUCUACCUCUGGGGGACUGCUCUGUAUCAAGACAGAAGGGUCAGUGAUUCAGCUACGGAACCACUGGGAAAGGCACAAAACAGGAGAGUUCUGCUACUUCAUCCCAUAGUCAUCCUGUAUUGUCAUGGAGGAACUGGAGGAUUCACAGCUCCCAGCUGGGCUAUCAGUCCAGCACACGUCUGGUUCAUUCAUCACACAGCGCCCAAAUCACCGUUUUUCAGCUUGAACUCAGAACAAUGAAACAGAAUAUUUGUUAAAACAGGAGGAUGUGUUCUGAUUAUCUCUGCUCUGCUUCUGACAAAGCUCCUUCUAUUUACAGUGGCAAAGAUAAGAAAAAGCCUGGAUUUAUUCCUCAGCUGACACUGCUGUCCUAGGACAGAGCCAGUAGGGUGUGCAGCAGGGAGUUCAUGCGUUGGAUGGUUUUGGUUCUUGUUGUCCCUCUGUUGCUAUCUUUUAGUGCACUAAUGAGAAUGCCAUUUGUAAUUAAAGCUUAGCUCUAACCAGCGCCUGCUUACAGCAGCUGUGUUACCUCGAAAGCAGCACGGAUGACACUGAGCUGUGAAACAGUGACAUUGCAGAGCUAUGUGCUUACUCCAGCAGGACUGGCCCUGUGGGCUCACAGAUGAGGCAAGUUCCUCUUCUCUUGCACAGAAGUCACAGCUACAGUCAAAAAAAGAGUUAUAAAAAUACAAAUAACUGAAAGCUGCAGAAAUAGCCCUGAUGCCAACAGGUGUGCAGAGAACACCCAGAACUAAGGCUGCUCUUCUAUUUGCAUACAGACUUUCAGACACACACUCUUUCAGAACCUACACCAGCUCCCUCUGAAAGCCACACGGUAUUUUCUCAUCCUCCUAGGCUUUCUGAAGUUAUAAAUGAGUAGCUGAGGAUGCUUGCUCAUGUGCUGCCACAACAAGCUAAUUGUUUGUUACGACACGAACAUUUCUGUUGGGUUUGGUAAGCAUCAUUUAACAGGCUUGUCAGAUCUUCUGUGCAAGGUGAGUUUGUCUCAGUAACAGCACAGCAGCACCGGCACACGCAGACAGAUCUGGCUGCAGAUCUCCUGUGUGCAGCAGUGUGGCUAUGACUGUCCUCAGCGUUCUCCUCCAACCUCGCAGCUCAGUUCCCCAUGGGAGCAGCUCUCAUCCUGCUUCACUCCAAAUGGGCAGUGCUAACAGAGCACUCUGAGCUGCAGAUCAUCACCAGCUCAACGUGUUCUGUCAGAUGUGCUGAGGGAGCGGCCAUGCAGACUGCUGGACUCUGCAGGGGCAGCAGCCCAGGAAGGGCAGCACUGCGGAGCAGCUGGGAGGUGCAGUGCCCUCAUCUGUUUGUGAUACGAAUCUCCUGGCUGGAGAUGCUGCAUUCCUUUUGGGACACCAAAUAUCAGAUCAAGGGGCCAGGGAAACAUGAUGCAAUGCACUGACCUGGUACACGCUCAGCUGAUUCAAAUUUGCUUUUGAGUUUAUGGAAGCGAUGAAUUUGUCCCAGCAUACCUCAUCUAGAUCAGGUAUCACCUGCCUUCCCGCAGCCAGCAAAAAGCCAAAGGGCAGCAUAAAAACAGUACCAUGGGUGAUUUAAAAUGAGUAUGGUUGUGCUUACACUGGUUCACAACCAAUUUAUCCGGCAGGUGAUCAAAGGUCUGGUACUUACGUGGAAGGUAAUUUAAAAACAGUGAUCUGGAUAUGCUGGCAGUCUUUAAUAGAAUUUUUAAAAAAUAAAACUAAAAGCGGAGAUAGUUUUACAUAUAGCCUAUGUAGUUUGCUGUCCCCUUUUACACACAGCUCUUUUCCCCUGGAGAGCACGAAGGCAAUCUGCAGGAUUCAGCUAUCAGAAGUUUCCUAGCCCAACGUUUGCAAUGAGAAAUGUUUUUGUUUGUUUGUUUGUUUGUUUUCAAAGCCUGCUGGCUUUCACUAUUUUUACUUGAAAAAUGAACUUUGUUUUAGAUUGGUUUGAGAUAGCACCGAUGCCUGACAUUCUGAAGGUUUUGUCUCUAAGGACCUGUGGCCAGAAGAUUAGAAAACAAGUUUUUAAAGUGAAAGGUUGCACUUAGAAGGUUUAAAACUACUUACUGAUAAAUGGGUUUGA